rnacentral:tRNA from 1 species
GCGGAAGUGGCGAAAUUGGCAGACGCACUACCUUGAGGUGGUAGCGAGGGAAACUUCAUGGGGGUUCGACUCCCCCCUUUCGCA